ACAAGCGGUGGAGCAUGUGGUUUAAUUCGAUGAUACGCGAGGAACCUUACCUGGGCUCGAACGUAAGAUGACUGGUAGGUGAAAGCUUACAUCUCUUCGGAGCAUUUUACGAGGUGCUGCAUGGUUGUCGUCAGCUCGUGCCGUGAGGUGUCGGGUUAAGUCCCAUAACGAGCGCAACCCCUACCUUUAGUUGCCAUCAGGUAAUGCUGGGGACUCUAAAGGAACUGCCUACGCAAGUAGUGAGGAAGGCGGGGAUGACGUCAAAUCAGCACGGCCCUUACGUCCAGGGCUACACACGUGCUACAAUGGCCGAUACAGAGGGCAGCUACCUGGUGACAGGAUGCAAAUCUCCAAAGUCGGUCUCAGUUCGGAUCGGAGUCUGCAACCCGACUCCGUGAAGUUGGAUUCGCUAGUAAUCGCGCAUCAGCCAUGGCGCGGUGAAUACGUUCCCGGGCCUU
rnacentral:rRNA from 1 species